AGAAGAUGUGGUAAAGAGACAUCCUGGCUGUUGCUCUCCAGAGUCUUUGCCAUCCUAAAGGAGGGGUGCUAUGUGGUGGCCCAGCCUCCUGUGAACGAUGGGUUUCCUACUAGACCGGAGGAGGAGGUCAACCCCAAGGGAAGCCAUGCCACAGUGAUUCCUGAAAUGGGACCAAUCCCGGUUGGUGACCAGCCCUAAAGGUGAGACACCUGCAGAAGCUGAGGAGUGUGGCGCACCUGCUGGCCCUUCCUGAUAGAGCCACAUGGGACUCAGCCUGGAGCAGCCUCUGGCUACAGCAUCCUUUCAAUGUAAGACCUGCUAAGCCCCAGGAUCCCCAGAUGCUCAGUGUACGAAUCCUUCAUGACUCUCACUGGCAAAAGAUAUGGAAAGAGACAGUCACUGAUGGAUGGAAAGGAACUGUGUGAGUGUAAACACGUAACGGGAAGUCCUGCGCCUCUCUUAAUUGCCCGACACAAUUCCCACUACGUGCAUAAACUGCAGUUCCCAUUAACAGCACCAUGAAUAAUAAUCAGUUUACUUUCUGACUCGUAUCUAAAUAUACCUUCUAUAUGAUUUCAUCUUUUAUGCAGCUGUUUAGAAGCAGAACAUCUAAUUACAGUUCCUAUUAGUCAACAUUAAUUUUUUUUCCCUUUUGCCACGGAGCAUAUGUAAUGACUGAUUUUCUAAAAACAGAAUUUUUUUAGCAUAUGGAACAAAUUGUGUUAUUAUUAAUGCAUUCCCAGAUGACUCUGCAUUUCAAUUCCCUUAAUUAUUUAGUCAUUGCUGAUUAUGUCUUUUUAACAUUCAUUAUCCCAUCUCUCGAAACACAGGCAGUUUAUUCAUUAAGUGUCAAAAUGGAAAGCUUGACCUCC
ensembl:antisense Gm16152 predicted gene 16152